rnacentral:hammerhead_ribozyme from 1 species
AUCCAACUGACGAGCCCUGAAUAGGACGAAACGCGCGUCCUGGAU